rnacentral:rRNA from 1 species
AACGAACGCUGGCGGCAUGCCUAACACAUGCAAGUCGAACGGAAGUUAAGACUUCGGUCUUAACUUUAGUGGCAAACGGGUGAGUAACGCGUGGGAAACUACAUCUUAGUGGGGGACAACUGUUGGAAACGACAGCUAAUACCGCAUACGCUCUUCGGAGGAAAGAUUUAUCGCUGAGAGAUGUGCCCGCGUCUGAUUAGGUAGUUGGUGGGGUAAAGGCCUACCAAGCCUGUGAUCAGUAGCUGGUCUGAGAGGAUGAUCAGCCACACUGGGACUGAGACACGGCCCAGACUCCUACGGGAGGCAGCAGUGAGGAAUAUUGGACAAUGGGGGCAACCCUGAUCCAGCAAUGCCGCGUGAAUGAAGAAGGCCUUCGGGUUGUAAAGUUCUUUCAUCUGUGAAGAUAAUGACGGUAGCAGAAGAAGAAGCCCCGGCUAACUCCGUGCCAGCCGCCGCGGUAAUAC